UUUUUUCAAUAGUAAAUCAAUGAUGACAUAGUAAGUAAUGAUGAAUGAGAAGCAACAGCUAGAUGACACAAGAAUCUAGCAAAUGCUUUAAUCCCUGCUCUGAUCAAUAAUAUAAUUAAGAACGCUUUUAUCGUAUUUCCAAAGCAUUAGUUCCUGAAGUAACAACUCUUCACGAGUCCCCUGCGCCCGCGUAUUGCCGCACAUGGCCAUGUUUAAUCCCAUUUAACUUAAGUACCAUGAGACAGCUCGUAAAAAGCCCUAACAUUGACAGUGAGGUGGAUGUCAGGCAGGGAGUUGCUGUCAUGCUACAAGUUGGCAUAAAGGAUUGUAUUCAUCCCAAUUCUCCCAAUCUCCUAGAGUAUGAAGAAGAA